GCGCGGGCUUCCUGGAGUCCUGCUACCGCGUCCCCGCAGGACAGUGUGUCAGGCGGGCAGCUUGCCCCGCCGCCCCACCGGAGCGCGGAAUCUGGGCGUCCCCACCAGUGCGGGGAGCCGGAAGGAGGAGCCAUAGCUUGGAGUAGGUUUGGCUUUGGUUGAAAUAAGAAUUUAGCCUGUAUGUACUGCUUUAACUCCUGGAAGAAUGACAGAUGACAAAGAUGUGCUUCGAGAUGUGUGGUUUGGACGAAUUCCAACUUGUUUCACGCUAUAUCAGGAUGAGAUAACUGAAAGGGAAGCAGAACCAUACUAUUUGCUUUUGCCAAGAGUAAGUUAUUUGACGUUGGUAACUGACAAAGUGAAAAAGCACUUUCAGAAGGUUAUGAGACAAGAAGACAUUAGUGAGAUAUGGUUUGAAUAUGAAGGCACACCACUGAAAUGGCAUUAUCCAAUUGGUUUGCUAUUUGAUCUUCUUGCAUCAAGUUCAGCUCUUCCUUGGAACAUCACAGUACAUUUUAAGGUAAAUGCCUAGUUGUGGAAUGGCUGGGUCAGAUGAGUUUUCCAGAAAAAGACCUUCUGCACUGUCCAUCUAAGGAUGCAAUUGAAGCUCAUUUUAUGUCAUGUAUGAAAGAAGCUGAUGCUUUAAAACAUAAAAGUCAAGUAAUCAAUGAAAUGCAGAAAAAAGAUCACAAGCAACUCUGGAUGGGAUUGCAAAAUGACAGAUUUGACCAGUUUUGGGCCAUCAAUCGGAAACUCAUGGAAUAUCCUGCAGAAGAAAAUGGAUUUCGUUAUAUCCCCUUUAGAAUAUAUCAGACAACGACUGAAAGACCUUUCAUUCAGAAGCUGUUUCGUCCUGUGGCUGCAGAUGGACAGUUGCACACACUAGGAGAUCUCCUCAAAG
rnacentral:lncRNA from 1 species